rnacentral:rRNA from 1 species
AGUAAUGUCUGGGAAACUGCCUGAUGGAGGGGGAUAACUACUGGAAACGGUAGCUAAUACUGCAUAACGUCGCAAGACCAAAGAGGGGGACCUUAGGGCCUCUUGCCAUCGGAUGUGCCCAGAUGGGAUUAGCUAGUAGGUGGGGUAAUGGCUCACCUAGGCGACGAUCCCUAGCUGGUCUGAGAGGAUGACCAGCCACACUGGAACUGAGACACGGUCCAG